rnacentral:rRNA from 1 species
GGGCCAGACUCCUACGGGAGGCAGCAGUGGGGAAUAUUGCACAAUGGGGGAAACCCUGACGCAGUGACGCCGCGUGCAGGAAGAAGGUUUUCGGAUUGUAAACUGCUUUAGACAGGGAAGAUAAUGACAGUACCUGUAGAAUAAGCCCCGGCUAACUACGUGCCAGCAGCCGCGGUAAUACGUAGGGGGCAAGCGUUAUCCGGAUUUACUGGGUGUAAAGGGAGCGUAGACGGUUAUGUAAGUCUGGAGUGAAAGCCCGGGGCCCAACCCCGGGACUGCUUUGGAAACUGUAUGACUUGAGUGCAGGAGAGGUAAGCGGAAUUCCUAGUGUAGCGGUGAAAUGCGUAGAUAUUAGGAGGAACACCAGUGGCGAAGGCGGCUUACUGGACUGUAACUGACGUUGAGGCUCGAAAGCGUGGGGAGCAAACAGGAUUAGAUACCCUAGUA